GCUUUCUGUCAGACUCUCUCAAAAUUUUAUGAAACAAGUUCUUUUCGUAUUUUUAAACCUCAUAUUUUAAUGAAACAAAUAGCGCGAACCAUGAAUGAAAUAAACGGAUUGUUUCUCAAAAACAUGAUCCAAUCUGUUCAAUCUUUCAAUUUCAUGGCUAAACUGGCUAAUACCUUUAAUCCGCGAGCCGCAAUGUACAUGUCUUCCAAUGAUUGGUUUUGAAAAUAUUUUUUUUUUUUCAUUUUCAAAACAAUAAAUACAUACACAAAAUUGGCAGAAGACGGGCACACUUACAGCCAGUUCCACGAUAUCGAAAAAACACGUUCGCACAACUUUUACACGACAAACAGCUGAUUUCUGUUCCACUGAAAUCCAUCAGAACGAAAAUUUGCACGAAAAUCAAAGCGAACGAAAACGUAAGCAUUUCAGUGUAAUUUUGCGUUCCACUAUCUUUUUUCUUUCGUACGCAUGCGAACACAAAUGUCAAAAUCAGUCACUUGUGUGUUUGCUAUCGUAUAAUAACAAUUAAGGAAAAUUGUUUUAACAUAAACAUUGCUUGAUUGAAAAUGGAAACAAAAAUCACGAAAAAAUCAUCAACUACACAGCUGCGGGCACUAGUAUAUGGAGGAGAAUCCUGUGUUCGCCAGAGGAGUGCCAAUUUUUGGAAGCAGCAGAAGAAGUUUUAAAUCGGGGCGGAUUUGGGUAGUUCUGCAACCGGGCACCCACUUCUCUUCCAUCAUAUCCAAAAGAGCCCGAAAACUUCCUUCGACACACGAAAAUUGGCCACAAACCUUGAAAAAAUUAUUAUUAUUUUUUAUUAUUUCAAAAAUGUAAAAAUACAAUCAUACUUACUGGUUGUUAGGUACUUCAAAUAAAUUCGAAGCAUCUCUUAAAUGCCUCCGUGGCACAUUUUGAACCUCCUCCACAUCAUCCAUAAAAAAUAGGGCUACGGAAAUAUUCUUUUUUUUAUUUUCUAACAGCCAGUUCCACGAUAUCGAAAAAACACGUUCGCACAACUUUUACACGACAAACAGCUGAUUUCUGUUCCACUGAAAUCCAUCAGAACGAAAAUUUGCACGAAAAUCAAAGCGAACGAAAACGUAAGCAUUUCAGUGUAAUUUUGCGUUCCACUAUCUUUUUUCUUUCGUACGCAUGCGAACACAGAUGUCAAAAUCAGUCACUUGUGUGUUUGCUAUCGUAUAAUAACAAUUAAGGAAAAUUGUUUUAACAUAAACAUUGCUUGAUUGAAAAUGGAAACAAAAAUCACGAAAAAAUCAUCAACUACACAGCUGCGGGCACUAGUAUAUGGAGGAGAAUCCUGUGUUCGCCAGAGGAGUGCCAAUUUUUGGAAGCAGCAGAAGAAGUUUUAAAUCGGGGCGGAUUUGGGUAGUUCUGCAACCGGGCACCCACUUCUCUUCCAUCAUAUCCAAAAGAGCCCGAAAACUUCCUUCGACACACGAAAAUUGGCCACAAACCUUGAAAAAAUUAUUAUUAUUUUUUAUUAUUUCAAAAAUGUAAAAAUACAAUCAUACUUACUGGUUGUUAGGUACUUCAAAUAAAUUCGAAGCAUCUCUUAAA